rnacentral:rRNA from 1 species
CACCGCCCGUCACACCAUGGGAGUCGUUUGCUCCAGAAGAGGCUGCGCCAACCGCAAGGAGGCAGGUCUCCAAGGAGUGCACGGUAACUGGGGUG